GGUGAAUAAGGGGUGGGCAAGUUCUGGUGUCAGCCGCCGCGGUAAAACCAGCACCUCAAGUGGUCAGGAUGAUUAUUGGGCCUAAAGCAUCCGUAGCCGGCUUUGUUAGUUUUCGGUUAAAUCCAUGUGCUCAACACAUGGGCUGCCGAAAAUACUGCAGGGCUAGGGAGUGGGAGAGGUAGACGGUACUCGGUAGGAAGGGGUAAAAUCCUUUGAUCUAUUGAUGACCACCUGUGGCGAAGGCGGUCUACCAGAACACGUUCGACGGUGAGGGAUGAAAGCUGGGGGAGCAAACCGGAUUAGAUACCCGGGUAGUCCCAGCUGUAAACGAUGCAGACUCGAUGAUGCAUUGGCUUAUAGCCAGUGCAGUGUCGCAGGGAAGCCGUUAAGUCUGCCGCCUGGGAAGUACGUACGCAAGUAUGAAACUUAAAGGAAUUGGCGGGGGAGCACCACAAGGGGUGAAGCCUGCGGUUCAAUUGGAGUCAACGCCAGAAAUCUUACCCGGAGAGACAGCAGAAUGAAGGUCAAGCUGAAGACUUUACCAGACAAGCUGAGAGGUGGUGCAUGGCCGUCGCCAGCUCGUGCCGUGAGAUGUCCUGUUAAGUCAGGUAACGAGCGAGAUCCCUGCCACUAGUUGCUAUCAUUAUUCUCAGGAAUAGUGGGGCGAAUUAGUGGGACUGCCGUUGUUAAAACGGAGGAAGGAAGGGGCUACGGCAGGUCAGUAUGCCCCGAAACUCUGGGGCCACACGCGGGCUGCAAUGGUAGUGACAAUGGGUUCCGAACCUGAAAGGGAGAGGCAAUCCCCAAACACUACCACAGUUAUGACUGAGGGCUGUAACUCGCCCUCACGAAUAUGGAAUCCCUAGUAACUGCGUGUCAUUAUCGCGCGGUGAAUACGUCCCUGCUCCUUGCACACACCGCCCGUCGUUUCAUCGAAGUUUGCUUUUAGCGAGGUGAUGUUUAAUUGGCAUUAUCGAACUUGAGGUAAGCAACGAGGGAAAAGUCGUAACAAGGUAGCCGUA
rnacentral:rRNA from 2 species